rnacentral:rRNA from 1 species
AUACGGAGGGUGCAAGCGUUAUCCGGAUUUACUGGGUUUAAAGGGUACGCAGGCGGUAAUUUAAGUCAGUGGUGAAAGCCUACAGCUCAACUGUAGAACUGCCAUUGAAACUGAAUUACUUGAGUAUGGUAGAGGUAGGCGGACUACAACAUGUAGCGGUGAAAUGCAUAGAUAUGUUGUAGAACACCGAUUGCGAAGGCAGCUUACUAAACCAUUACUGACGCUCAUGUACGAAAGCGUGGGGAGCGAACAGGAGUAGAAACCCUAGUAGUCC